AUUGAACGCUGGCGGCAUGCCUUACACAUGCAAGUCGAACGGCAGCACGGGGCAACCUGGUGGCGAGUGGCGAACGGGUGAGUAAUGCAUCGGAACGUGCCAUUGAGUGGGGGAUAACGUAGCGAAAGUUGCGCUAAUACCGCAUAUUCUGUGAGCAGGAAAGCAGGGGACCGCAAGGCCUUGCGCUCUUUGAGCGGCCGAUGUCAGAUUAGCUAGUUGGUGAGGUAAAGGCUUACCAAGGCGACGAUCUGUAGCGGGUCUGAGAGGAUGAUCCGCCACACUGGAACUGAGACACGGUCCAGACUCCUACGGGAGGCAGCAGUGGGGAAUUUUGGACAAUGGGCGCAAGCCUGAUCCAGCCAUGCCGCGUGAGUGAAGAAGGCCUCGGUUGUAAG
rnacentral:rRNA from 1 species